rnacentral:rRNA from 1 species
UACGGGGGGGGGCAAGCGUUGUUCGGAAUUAUUGGGCGUAAAGGGCGCGUAGGCGGCUUGGCAAGUGGAAGGUGAAAUCCCUCGGCUUAACCGAGGAACUGCCCUCCAAACUGCUUGGCUUGAGACCGGGAGAGGUGAGUGGAAUUCCCAGUGUAGCGGUGAAAUGCGCAGAUAUCAGGAGGAACACCGAUGGCGAAGGCAGGUCUCUGGGCCACUACUGACGCUGAGAAGCGAAAGCGUGGGGAGCGAACAGG